UGGCUUCGGUAAUCCCCGCAUUCUUUAUUUCAUAUUUAAAUUGUGCUUGCAGACUUUCCCAUAAGGUGCUGCCUCACUCAGCAACAUAAUGGACCAGGAGACAAUUGCAGCCUGAGAGGUGUUGCCUUUGCAACAUGCUCUCAUAAUCUUUGCCAAUGGAAAUGUUACACGAAAUGCUAGAUUCCCUGGAUUGGAUCCAUCGGUCUCUGAUCGAGUUAAGAACCAGACAUGGGCUGUGAAGUCCGAUCACAUAAUUGAUGUCAUUCAGAAAUUAGGUUCACCGCUCACUAAGUGCUGAUGGAAGAAAUCUUGGGCUCCCCCAAUUACCAGGUCAAGGAUGCUCUUUCAUAGCUUUCGAUCAAACACAUACAAACUGAGCUUUAUGGAGAGUCCCUCUGGG